rnacentral:lncRNA from 10 species
AGUCCUCUAUCCGACUUGAUCGUGCAGAGUUGGUUCGCACCGCCCAGUGAGGGGAAGCUGUUUUCUCGUCGAUUGAUAGGCUCCGGGUCUGGGUAGGAGAGGCUGCCCUGUAUGAGGUAGCUUGAAGGGCCGCUGACAGGAGGAAACGCUUCCGAAUUUUCCAGACGUGUUGACGUUUGAGGGUGCUGACUACACGUUAAGGAACUUUAUUGUCACGCCUUUGGGAAUAUACUGCCAGGCUCUUCCUAGAUAUAUUCAUUCUCUUUAAAAUGAGCAUGUCUACCUGGGUUCACCAGAAACUAAGUUUUUCUUAGCCUUUUGUGAGGCAACUGAAAAAUAAAUUGAACUGUAGGCCCUUUCUCUGCUUGUUUCUUAUUGAUGGCGACUGCUUAUGACCACUUUGGUGACAGACGAAUUAGAAGACAUGUCUUGGACAUUCAGUAAAUGUGGACCACAUACCAUGGAUAUUUACUCUGCUACAGCCAGUGGGCUGCCUCUGUUCCUUGAACGUGGCCAUUUCAUUCCCUUCUCAAGGCCUCUGCACUUAGCUAUUCUUUCAGCGUGGAGACCUAAUGGCUGCUUCCUUUGACUUCCCGCCCCCAGUUCUCAAGCCAUGUGUCAUCUCUUUGGAAAGAUUCCUAAUCACCUUCCAGAAAAUGAAAAUUACAUGCUGAAAAUCUAUUUUGAGUUUAACAACUUUGGUUAAGAUUUUAUGUUCUAAUACUUAGAACUGACAAAGAUCUAAUUUUAUGUUGAUUUUGGAGAGAGCAUUUUCCCCAGAAAAGUUCAUAAUAGGACAAGACAACAUCCUUCACCUCAUUUGGGAUUUGUGCAGCACAAUCAUAAAGGAUCAUUUCUGCAAAAAUAUUAGGGCAGGGCCGUUAAUUUUCCCAAGGGCCUUUCUUAAUCUAGACCAUGCCACCAUCAUCUCUCACCUGCUCUACGCUAGUUUCCUUCUAAAUGAAAUCUCAGGUUCAGUCUUUUACCAUCCUUAGGCAGUUUUACAAACUGUAGCAAGAUCGAUCUUAAAACGGAGAUCAUCUCGUUCCCUUGCCUAAAACCUUUUGGACACUAAAAUUUAGUGACUUCCUAUUGCUCUUAAAAUCCAGUUCCUUGUCAUGGCCUGCAGGCCCAAGGUGACUUGUCCUCUUGAUUGCUCCUCUCACUGUACUUCCAGCCACAUCUCCCCACCCAGAUUAUGCUCUGGCAACAUUGUUGUUUUAGUUUAUGAACACCCCCACCCAGAUUAUGCUCUGGCAACAUUGUUGUUUUAGUUUGUGAACACCCCGGGUUUUACUGAUACCUCCAGGACUCUGCCCAUACUUGUCCCUCUACCUGGAACCCUCUUCCUCGGACUCCUUGCACAUCCAGCUCAUUUUAUCCUUUAGCCCUCUGCUUAGUUGUCACCACUUCUGGGUGCCCUUCCCUGGCCACUCAUCUCCGUGUUUAUUUUCUUCAUAGUAAUUCACAUUGUGAAACUGUCUGAUAAUUGAUUUGUCUCUUGUCUUCAAGAAAAUAUAAGACGUAAGAGGUCAGGAAUCCUGUCUGCCUUAUUGUCUUUUAUAUCUUCAAGGUCUGUCAUAGUUCUUGGCAAGUAGUAGGUGCUCAGAUAUUUGUUGGUUGGUUGAAUGAGAUUUUUUUAGACAAUUUUUUGACAAUUGCUUAAAAUCUCUCCAAUUGCCAAAAGAGGAAAGAAACUAACAUUGGGAUCUCCUGAGUAUCGGACAUUGUGAGGCUAUCUCUUCCUUUCCAUUCCUUUAUCUAGAUCAUUUUUGCCUGAGAUUUAAUGCAGUGAUUUCCUAAUGAGCUACCUCUAGUUUCUCCGUACUCCAUUUCAUGCUAUCUUCACCUGUUAGUUUAAUCCAAUCUUGCCUCUCCCAUUCACAGACCUUCCGUUUCUUCCCACCACCUGACAAACAUAAUUCAGCCUCCCUGGUCUGGCAUUAAGGGCUUUCCUGAUACAUCUUAGAUUUUGCUCUCUGAUUUCUACUUCCCUAGUAGACCCUUUGUUUUCCUGCCUUGUUGCCUCUGCUCAUGUGUUUCCUCUUGAAAGGAACUUUCUCCACCUGCUAAAAUCUAAUCAAUCCUUCAAGGCAAGGCAUGUUCCUCUCGAAUAACAAAGGUGAAAGGACUUUGAAAAUUGAAAAAAAUUAUAUAGUUAGUUACAAUUAUAGUUAGUUACAAUUAUAUAGUUAGUGGUAGAGGACAAAGAUAGCAUUUCCCCUCUUUCCCUAACCUUUAAUGUCUGAAACUAAGCAUUAGCCACUAGCCACAUGUAGCUGUUGAAUAUUUGAAAUGUGGCUAGUCUGAAUUGAAAUGUACUGUACAAA